GAUUAUUCUAAAGACCUGCAUUAAUAUAUUCCAUUUCUCGACGUCCUAUCACUUAACAAGUAUCCAUCGUUCUUAGCAUAAGUGACAAAUAAUUUAAUAAUAGAUAACUAAGAUAUCAAAUUAAAAAUUUAAUUGUUUCAUAUUUUUAGUUAAAUUUAUUUUUUAAAAAAUAAACGCUGCGAGUAAUAUGUUAAGAUUGGGGGUAUGGG
rnacentral:lncRNA from 1 species